CUCUUGAACGGACACACGUUACAUAAUUAUAACGAAAUCAAAGAGAAGCAAGUAUAAUAAUUCUGUGAAAUCAUAUGGACUCAUAUACUAAAUGCUGUUUAAAGGCUUUUACAAGCGUGCAUAUCAAUAAAUCUAAAGUUAAUAGUAAUGAUUACAUCUCCUUGUAUAAUGAUGAUUUCCAACUUGGUGUUUAGAAAUCUAAUGGAAUUAUUAAAAAUAUAUGCAGAGACAAACAGUGAGGAGGAGAUUGUUUAGUGCUAGUGAAGAAACUAACUACGAUCUAUUAUAAUUAUUGACGACCAUCUACUAACUCUACCAACUAUUGACACACGUGAAUCAUAAAAGUCUAGCAUGAUAAUUGAAAAGAUAUUGCAACAAAAUGUCUACCGAUGAUUCAACUAAACAAGAAUCUAUGAAGAAACAUUACUGCAAUCUACUGCAAAAAAAAAAAAACAGAAAAAAAGUAAGAAAUCUUGGAUUAGAAAGAAUAUCUGAUGAUGAAUUAGGUCACUCGCACUACACUGGAUUAGUGCACUGAUUAAAGGUUACUAAAUAGCAAUGGUAUAUAAUAUAAUCAAUUUUAACAAUAAAAGAAAUACAUACAUGCUUUCAUUAAAUAACGUGGCAAUCUCAUUAUUGAAUAUUCAAUUGUUAAAAAUAAUUAUCUGCAUUAUCUUUUACAUUUAAUUUCACUAAUUUUUACGUAUAGCAGCUUUAAGUAUGCAUUAAUCUAGUAUAGUGCAAGUGACCGAAAACUUUACUAUGAGAAAUUCAUAAUUAGAAAAUUUUGAAUUUUUUAGAAACUUUCAAGAAAAGAUUCAAUGAUAUAUGUAUGAGAAAUAAAAACUUUAAGAUGCUAAAAAAUGAAAAAAAUGAGUGAAAAAAGACUGAACUGAAACAUGGACUACAUGGAAUAAAGAAAUUUGCAGAAAAACUAGAGAAAAGAAAACUACAUGAUAUGACGAGUGUCUGUGUAAAAGCACAUUCUGCAAAUAAAAUAUGAAAUAUAAAUGCACGCCAAACAAUCUCUUUGACAAGAAUAAUGAUACAUUAAAAAUAUGACAAAAGAAGAUUUAUGACAAAGAAGGAUAACAAUAUCAUGUGUUAUCUUAUAUACAUAUAGUCAAUUAGAAAAUUACAGAGUAGCAUAUUGAUAGUUUCUUGUAAAAAAUUUGUAUCGCAUUGUAAAUAUUAAUAUAUGAGUUUUAGCGAUGAAAAAAA